UACGUAGGUGGCGAGCGUUGUCCGGAUUUACUGGGCGUAAAGAGCGCGCAGGCGGUCGUACAAGUCGCGUGUGAAAGCCCCCGGCUCAACUGGGGAGGGUCACGCGAUACUGUUCGACUCGAAGGCAGGAGAGGGAAGCGGAAUUCCCGGUGUAGUGGUGGAAUGCGUAGAGAUCCGGAAGAACACCGGUGGCGAAGGCGGUCUGCUGGGGUAAUGCUGACACUGAUGCGCGACAGCGUGGGGAGCAAACAGG
rnacentral:rRNA from 1 species